rnacentral:tRNA from 1 species
GCCUGGGUGGCUUGGUCGGUUGAGCGUCUGACUUCUGCUCAGGUCAUGAUCUCGCGGUUUGUGAGUUCAAACCCCACAUUGGGCU